CAGGGAUGACUAUCAUUGAACACUUGUAGUCACAGGGAUGACUAUCAUUGAACACUUGUAAUCACAGGGAUGACUAUCAUUGAACACUUGUAGUCACAGGGAUGACUAUCAUUGAACACUUGUAGUCACAAGGAUGACUAUCAUUGAACACUUGUAGUCACAGGGAUGACUAUCAUUGAACACUUGUAGUCACAGGGAUGACUAUCAUUGAACACUUGUAGUCACAGGGAUGACUAUCAUUGAACACUUGUAGUCACAGGGAUGACUAUCAUUGAACACUUGUAGUCACAGGGAUGACUAUCAUUGAACACUUGUAGUCACAGGGAUGACUAUCAUUGAACACUUGUAGUCACAGGGAUGACUAUCAUUGAACACUUGUAGUCACAGGGAUGACUUAGUUACUGUGUACAUGAAUUGUACGGGGAGAACUUGCAGCAGUAGUAAAUCACUUAUUUUCGUUUGUGUAAUCUUUCAAUGUCGUUAUAGAAUUUGUGAUGACACAAGACUUUUAUUUAGUAGAGUGGUCAGAUAUGGCCGAGCGUGAAUGAUACUGUGCGGUAUUGGCUUUUGUUUCAGAUUAACACACGAGGACGUGUGUAACACAGGAUGGCCGUGUCGCAUCCGGGUCAAUAGUUCGGAAUAUCAACGAUACACAAACGUCAAAGUGACAGAAUGGCCGUGUCGUGGUUGACGACUUUUAGUAAUAUUAAGACGUUGUUUUGACUAUUAUUUUAAAUGAUGAAAUGUUGUGUUGAUAAAUGUCACAAAAUGUAGGGUACACUACGUGGCGCCACAGUAUAAAAUGGCGGUACGUGGACAGAGUCGUGGCAUUCCGUGUCAGACAGUCAUUCAGUCCGUAUCAGACGGUCGGUUCGUCUCAGUCAGUGAGUCAGUCAGUCAGUCAGUCGGUCUGUCGGUAUGUGCAACGAAACUGUCGGUUUAUCCUGUCAUUGUGAAAGUUGUGUGUGUUGAGUUUCAAUAACUAUUAUUCAAAAAGUUUUAUUGACGUUCAAUCGAAUACGAGUGAUGACGGAAACUACCGCUUAGCCAUCCCUGGUGGCGCUGCCGUCGACAUCAGAAGCGGGAUCAGGACUCUACUCUCACUGGCGUGACGUGUUUGAACAUGUUCGAAGUACAGCGAAAAAACAUGAUGCAGAUCAGAAUACCAGUAACGGUAUCUGAGAUCACGGGUCGGAAAUUCAUCGGGAACAGACAGAUGCCGAUCCACGUGUUUGGUGCGCUACGGUUGAUAUGUACCUCGAUGAACGUCUACUGGAUGGUGCAUAGCUCAUUGUCGCGGAUUUCACAACAAGCAAGCAAACAAGAAAGCAAGCAAGUUUCCGUGGGGAAGAAAAAUUGACACAUCUGAAGUCGUCGUGACCUGUAAGAUAAGACGUCCGGUGCGUUCGUGUCUGGCGAUGCGGCGGGGUUCGGGUCCCGCUGGCGG